rnacentral:pre_miRNA from 1 species
UAUAAGGGAUUUUGAGUUUUUGCUUACAGUGUUUGACCACUCGUCUUAUUCAAAAAGUUUUGUAAUUAUUAUUUACUUUUUUUUACUUACUUUACUAUCCAAAAUACUUUACACACAACUAUUCGUUUUUUAUAUUUGCAUAAAUUUUUUAAAUAAGAUGAGUGGUCAAACACUGUAAGCAAAAACUUAAAAUCCCUUAUA